AUGCGAUACUUGGUGUGAAUUGCAGAAUCUCGUGAACCAUUGAGUCUUUGAACGCAAGUUGUGCCCGAGGCCUUCUGGCCGAGGGCACGCCUGCUUGGGAGUCAUGGCACCGCCGCCUCUGCUCCAUGCAAUAUUGGUGCCCCGAGCGCGUAAAUUGGCCCCGUGUGCCCUCGGGCACAGUCGGCUGAAGAGCGGGUAGUCGGCAAUCGUCGGGCACGACGGGUGUUGGUCGCCGUGAGCGGGAACAGAACGUCGGCCCCGUCGAUUUGGGACGAGCCCUCAAAGAGACCCUAUGUGAUUGUGGCGUCGGGUUAAAGUGCCGCGUCCAUCAACUUGUGGCCCCAAGUCAGGCGAGACCACCCGCCGAGUUUAAGCAUAUCAAUAAG
rnacentral:rRNA from 1 species